rnacentral:lncRNA from 1 species
ACCUGUGUGCUCAGAUAUGAUACCUUCAGCCCUUUGAGAGGAAGGGUGUGGGCUGAGACCUGGGCCAAAAGAGCCUUCAGGAUGGUGGAUUCUUCCCAGAAGCUGCCUCUUGUGUUUCCUGCAGGUGCCCUAAAAACAAUAUUUUCUAUGCGUUCUAUGAUGUGAAGAAGGUGGGGAUGCAACGCCAGUUCCAACAAGCAGGUCUGCGCUGUAAGAACCACAAUCUGGCUUUCUACUAAGAAACCACAGUGUUGCAACAAAUAGGCCCAGUUACCCAAAGCACCUGAUAGUGGUUUGUCAGAAUGGCCCAGAGGCUUCUCUGCUCAGGCAUUAAGCAUUUGGAGACGGAAAUCUCGGCUCCAGUUUCCCUCUGCAGUGGGACUUAGUUCAUCUCAGCCUGAGUUGGUUUCUGCAGCAGCCCAACUCUGUCAAGCUCAAAGUUAAGAAAUUCUGUUAUGCAGUGGCAACAGAGGAGUGGAGGAAUUAAAAAAUAAGAAUCUUGUUCUAUGACCUUCCAGUUAUUAUUGUUUAAUUAUUAUUUUUAUGAGUUUAUAAGUUAUUUUAAGUCAUUUCUUUGUCCUUUCUCAAAAUGUAACAAAAAUUGUCAGCCAUUUUUCCUAAUUGCCUGUAAAUGACAGGCUAUGUCAAGUGAAUGAAAAUUUGAAUUUCUGUUGAGUCAACUGGUCCUUGAGUCACCAUUGUAGUGUUGGACACCGCCUAGUCAAGCUCAGCCUGAAGUAGAAAAUAAAGACCUGCUGGAUUUCUUAUUCUUUUUUUCAAAUCUUCAGAAUUCCUACUACUGAUGAACCUUCCAGGAAAAAAAUGCUUCUGCUGGAAACUUACCCGCCUCCUAAAGACGCUGCUCACCACUACUACUGAAGAGACACACUUGUCAGCCCACAGUUACCUGAAGAUCAUGCACUCUCCAGGUUAGAAGGGACUUUUGAGUACUUAAUAUAGCGAUUCCUAAACCUGGCUUCUCAUCAGAAUUACCCAUGGAGGUUAAAACAAACAAGCAAGAAGAUUCCUCUCUAUCAUGGCCUUCUGAAUAAAAAGCCUCAGAGAAUGGAAAAGUCUUAAGAUUGGUAACACCCAGUGUUGCAGAGAAUAUGAAGAAACAAGUGCUCUAAUACCGUUGGUGAGUUUAUGAAUGGCUACACUGUUUUGGAUGGCAAUUUAAGUUACUACCAGUAUUUUUAAAAGCAUACAUCCAGAAAUUUCCUUCUAGGAACUCCAUGGAAAAAUAUAUAUGAUAUUCACAGCAACAUUUGUGAGCUGGAAAUGAGAAAUAUUAAAAUAUGUAUCAAGAGACAUAAAAGUAAAAGGUAUUGCCUGAACAAUUAUUCUUAUAUGCAUAUUUCUACAAUUUAACCACUGUAUGUUUUCUACAGUAUGUUCUGUAGCAGAAAAAAAGAUAUUCUACAGC